AGCGGCCACAAAACUCCUGUUCUUAGUGGCGAUAGAUAAGCGACAAUUGCGAUGAGCCGGACCAAGUACAAAAACUAUUAAGGUCGUUUACACUUGUGUCUACCUUUGCAGAUCCUCUCUCAAGCUCCUUUCAAGUUGAACAGUACUUGUAUUGUUAUUGUGUUCAUGUGCUAGAUUCUAAAGGAGUAAUAAGGCCCACCUCCUUUCUGUGGAAUGCAUCAAUACUCAUUGUCAGUCCGGUGCUACCUUGUGCACGUCUGACUGUUCAAAACCUGGUUUAGUCGGUGGACUAUAAAGCAUAACCUGUGCCCCAACGAUUUCCAUUUUUCCAGAACAAACAAUUCUUGAACUUUUGUACUACUUGACUUCGAAAAAUGUCCUAAUCCCACACCGUGAAGCAUGCCGCAUCCCGAAGGCUGAAACAAACUCCACCUCCUGCGUCCAGCCAGUAGCAAUGGGUGCGUGAACUGCGCACUGGGUGCAACUAGUGGACUUCGCAAGUUCGAUGCCAUCACAAAGCGCAUUCUUUCACAAAAAUACUUCUUAACAUUACAUUCUUUAACACUCUCUUUCUUAUAAUGCAUAUUUAGAUGUGUUUGUUAUAGACUACAAGGGCGGAAUAUUGACGCUACCAUCAACAUCCACGACAUUUCCCAUUUCAACCCAUGCGGGUGUUUUACCUACGAAUGAAGGGUUGAAAGCAUCAACAAACAAAAUCCUGGAGACAGUUAUUUGGAGCGCCGCUACUUCAGUGGAAAUCACAACAGAAACGACAUUUUCUAAGACCCCACGCGGACACGCACAUCCUGCAUCGCGAGAUUCAUCAACAACCAACACCAGCCCGAUGCCUGUUAGUUUGGUGCCACAUGCUAGAGCAGUGAUUUCGACCAAACUUCAAGGCGGCAAUACACCUUCUGUGUCUGGUGUAACAACUAUCCAUCGGUCUCCGUCUACUAUGAAGAUGUCCCCUCAAUUUACGAAGGAAAGGGAGACGCUCGCUUUCUCUAGCCCAGUGACUAUUGAACGGCCUACAAACUUUUCCCACGUCGAGCCCUCUGAAGAAGACUCUUCAGCACUCGGACAGGCAGCUAUAAUCGGAAUUUCCGCGUCUGCUGGGACAAUCCUGGUUAUAUCUGUGAUAUGUUCAGUGUUGUGGAGAUCCAGAAUGACAACCAGACGGUCUGGGUCCAAUGAUAGUUCUGAUAAAGAGCAUCAAUACAGUAGCAAGGCGGCAGAGGGAACUGGCAUAUACGAAACAGUGAUUGGCGAGCGGCUUGAUCAGACGGAUUUGCGAAUACCUGUAGAGCAAUCAAACGAAGCUACCGUUACUAUGUACGAGAGCACAGCUUACAUGAGCACUACGAGAGCAUCCUGGCAACUCACCUCGAAUGACGCCUACGGAGCGACAUCAGACACGUUCAAGUAAGAUGGUGAAAGGCGUUAUAUUUGGAUUGGAUUGGUUUUACGCUUCACAUGAAGAUCUGUCGCAUCGGAACUACUCAUCUUCGGGGGCCCCAUACCAAAACAAGAUCAUAUUAAACGAGAUGGUUCUGUCGUUCUAUUCUGGCAAAUGCGAGUGUAGAUUAGACCAAGAACAGCAGAAAACACUGAAAUACCCAAUUUAAGUCUAGGAUCACGAGGUCGCGAAGCCCCAAAAGAUAAAAAAAAAAAAAAAGUUCACUUUUCUUCGAUGUCUGAUCUUGUCUCGUACUUUAUGCGUCACAUUCAUUAUCUGGGACGACUGGCUAUGUUUGCAUGCCUUCCCUGGGAACAACACCGCACUCGGUGAGGGCGAUUUCUCGCUGGUCCUCAUUUUUGAACUGCUAAUAAUGUAGGCAUUAUCCUAUCCACGUUACAUGCCCACUUACCUUUCCACUUUCCCCAUUUUUUGAAUGAAAUAUUAUCUUUCCAGAAUUGGCAGUUUGAGCCACAUAAAGCGUCCAGUUUUUCAUAGUUCGCUUGCAAGUCAGUUGCACACCUUCUGUAAAAAUAUAAUUCACUUCCAAACUAUCCUUUUUGUCUUCCACAGACUUUACAAGAAGUAGCUUAACUUGGCCAUGCCUCCUUUCUAUGGUAAUAAUUAUAACACACGAUAAGGCAGGAUUAUAAGAUCAUUGUGCACUGCACUUACACCAAGUACUACACUUUAUCACUUUCUUUGUUUUGACUCCCAUUGAUUAUCGCUAUACCUAAGAAGUCAAUUAUUCC